rnacentral:rRNA from 1 species
UGGGGAAUAUUGGACAAUGGGGGCAACCCUGAUCCAGCCAUGCCGCGUGUGUGAAGAAGGCCUUUUGGUUGUAAAGCACUUUAAGCGAGGAGGAGGCUACCCUGACUAAUACUCAGGAGUAGUGGACGUUACUCGCAGAAUAAGCACCGGCUAACUCUGUGCCAGCAGCCGCGGUAAUACAGAGGGUGCGAGCGUUAAUCGGAAUUACUGGGCGUAAAGCGCGCGUAGGCGGUUUGUUAAGUCGGAUGUGAAAUCCCCGGGCUCAACCUGGGAAUUGCAUUCGAUACUGGCAAGCUAGAGUAUGGGAGAGGAAGGUAGAAUUCCAGGUGUAGCGGUGAAAUGCGUAGAGAUCUGGAGGAAUACCGAUGGCGAAGGCAGCCUUCUGGCCUAAUACUGACGCUGAGGUGCGAAAGCAUGGGGAGCAAACAGGAUUAGAUACCCUUGUAGUCCCUGAGCGGGCUGGCAAGGCGCAU